UUUCUGUUACUUGUGCAUCUGUUAGCACAUUAAGACAAAAAAAUAUCUUACAUAUGAUAGGUGAAGAU
rnacentral:snoRNA from 8 species